rnacentral:rRNA from 1 species
AACGCGAAGAACCUUACCCAGGUUUGAAAUACAGAGGACAGCUCCAGAGAUGGAGUCUCCCGCAAGGGUCUUUGUACAGGUGCUGCAUGGCUGUCGUCAGCUCGUGCCGUGAGGUGUUGGGUUAAGUCCCGCAACGAGCGCAACCCUUAUCAUUAGUUGCCAACACGCGAGGUGGGAACUCUAAUGAGACUGCCCGGGUUAACCGGGAGGAAGGUGAGGAUGACGUCAAGUCCGCAUGGCCUUUAUACCUGGGGCUACACACGUUCUACAAUGGCCGGUACAAACCGCUGCAAACCCGCGAGGGGGAGCUAAUCGGAAAAAGCCGGCCUCAGUUCGGAUUGGAGUCUGCAACUCGACUCCAUGAAGCUGGAAUCGCUAGUAAUCGUGGAUCAGCAUGCCACGGUGAAUACGUUCCCGGGCCUUGUACACACCGAGACGAC